AGUGAACGCUGGCGGUAGGCCUAACACAUGCAAGUCGAACGGCAGCACAGUAAGAGUUUGCUUUUACUGGUGGCGAGUGGCGGGCGGGUGAGGAAUACAUCGGCAUCUUCUUUUUCGUGGGGGAUAACGUAGGGAAACUUACGCUAAUACCGCAUAUUAUCUACCGCUGAAAGCAGGGGAUCUUCGCACCUUUCCCGUUUGAAUUAGCCGAUGUCGGACUAGCUAGUUGGCGGGGUAAAGGCCCACCAAGGCGACGAUCCGUAGCUGGUCUGAGAGGAUGAUCAGCCACACUGGAACUGAGACACGGUCCAGACUCCUACGGGAGGCAGCAGUGGGGAAUAUUGGACAAUGGGCGCAAGCCUGAUCCAGCCAUACCGCGUGGGUGAAGAAGGCCUUCGGGUUGUAAAGCCCUGUUGUUGGGAAAGAAAAGCAGCAGGUUAAUACCCCGCUGUUCUGACGGUACCCAAAGAAUAAGCACCGGCUAACUUCGUG
rnacentral:rRNA from 1 species